GGUUGUUCCGCCACAUCGGGACUGAGACACUGCCCGGACCUCCACGGAGGGCUGCAGUAACGAAUAUUGCGCAAUGGGCGAAAGCCUGACGCAGCGACGCCGCGUGUAGGAGGAAGUCUUUCGGGAUGUAAACUACUGUCAGGGGGAAGAAAGUCGGCUUCGGCCGAUUGAUCUAACCCAGAGGAAGUCACGGCUAACUUCGUGCCAGCAGCCGCGGUAAAACGAAGGUGGCGAGCGUUGUUCGGUAUCACUGGGCUUAAAGCGUGUGCAGGCGGAACAGACAGCGUCGGGUGAAAGCCCUCGGCUUAACCGAGGAAGGGCUCGACGAACCACUGUUCUUGAGGCAAGUAGGGGUGCGCGGAACUCUUGGUGGAGCGGUGGAAUGCGUAGAUAUCAAGAGGAACGCCGGUGGUGAAGACGGUGCACUGGACUUGUCCUGACGCUCAGACACGAAAGCGUGGGGAGCGAACGGGAUUAGAUACCCCGGUAGUCCACGCUGUAAACGAUGUCUACUAGGUUGUGGAGGUUCUGACGCCGUCACGGCCGAAGCUAAAGUGCUAAGUAGACCGCCUGGGGAGUACGGCCGCAAGGCUAAAACUCAAAGGAAUUGACGGGGGCUCACACAAGCGGUGGAGCAUGUGGAUUAAUUCGAAACAACGCGCAGAACCUUACCUGGGCUUGACAUGCUUGGAUGCCAUCCUGGAAACAGGGGAAGCUGCCCUUCGGGGUGAAACUUGCACAGGUGCUGCAUGGCUGUCGUCAGCUCGUGUCGUGAGAUGUCGGGUUAAGUCCUUUAACGAGCGAAACCCUUGCCGUUAGUUACCAGCGGGUAAUGCCGGGAACUCUAAUGGGACCGCCGGUGUGAAACCGGAGGAAGGUGGGGACGACGUCAAGUCCUCAUGGCCUUUAUGUCCAGGGCUUCACACGUGCUACAAUGGCGGUGACAGAGCGACGCAAUACCGUGAGGUGGAGCAAAUCGCAAAAACAUCGCCCCAGUUCGGAUUGCAGGCUGGCAAUUCGCCUGCAUUAAGUCGGAAUCGCUAGUAAUCGCGUAUCAGCUACGACGCGGUGAAUGUGUUCCUGAGCCUUGUACACACCGCCCGUCAAGUGAUGGGAGUUGGGAGCACCCGAAGUCGGUUUGCCAACCUUUUAGGAGGCGGCUGCCUACGGUGAGCCCGAUGACUGGCACUAAGUCGGAACAAGGUA
rnacentral:rRNA from 1 species